CCUACGGGAGGCAGCAGUGAGGAAUAUUGGUCAAUGGGCUUACGCCUGAACCAGCCAAGUCGCGUGAGGGAAGACUGCCCUAUGGGUUGUAAACCUCUUUUGUCAGGGAGCAAUAGGCGCUACGCGUAGCGUUAUCGAGAGUACCUGAAGAAAAAGAAUCGCUUAACUCCGUGCCAGCAGCCGCGGUAUUACGGAGGAUGCGAGGGUUAUCCGGUUUUAUUGGGUUAAAGGGUGCGUAGGCGGAAUACCAAGUCAGCGGUAAAAUUGCGGGGCUCAACCUCGCUCCGCCGUUGAAACUGGCGUUCUUGAGUGAGCGAGAAGUAUGCGGAAUGCGUGGUGUAGCGGUGAAAUGCAUAGAUAUCACGCAGAACUCCGAUUGCGAAGGCAGCAUACCGGCGCCCAACUGACGCUGAAGCACGAAAGCGUGGGUAUCGAACAGGAUUAGAUACCCUAGUAGUC
rnacentral:rRNA from 1 species